rnacentral:piRNA from 1 species
UAGGAGGUUCUACAUGAGGCAAACAGCCAAC